GCCUCCUGCACCGCCUGCAUCUUCUCCUUGAGCAUCUUCUCUGCCAAGGCCCGCUGCUGUGCCAGGUCCUCCUCUGCCAGCUGCCGCAGUCGCGCAGCCUCUUGGGCCGCCACACUCAGCCGCGCGGCCUCCUCCGCCACCUGCUUCAUCUUCUCAGCCUCCUCCUGCAGGAAGCGCUGCGUAUUGUCCUUGUCACGCAAGAUGAGUGCGCGGUUCUCAGCCUCGAUGCGUGCCUUGAGCUUGCUCAGCUCCUCCAUCUGCACGCGCACCGAGAAGAGCUCCUCCUCCACCUGGCUGCGCUGGCGUGCGGCCUCCGUGGCCUCCGCCUUCAGCCGCUGCAGCUCCUCGUCCAGCAGGUUCUUCUGGUGGUCGGUCUCCUCCAGCUGCAGCCGCAGUGUUGUCAGCUCCUGCUCCACCUGCGCCUUCUGCCGCAGCGUCUGCUCGGCGAAUUUCUUAUGCUUCUCCAUCUCCGCGUCAGCUGCCUGCUUCUGCCGCAGGGCCGCCUGCUCCGCCUGUGCCCGCCGCGCCGCCUCUUGCUCGGCCUCCUUGCGCAGCUUCUCUGCAGCCGCCUGUGCCUGAGCCCGGGCCUGUGCCUGCUCCUCUGCCGACUGCUUCAGCCGCUCGGCCUCUUCCACCUGCCGCCGGGACUGCGCCGCCUCACGCUCCGCCUGCACCCGGGCCUCCUCCGCCUCCUCAGCCGCCCGCCGGGCCGCCUCCGCCUCGCCGCGCAGCUGGUCCAGCACGCUCUGCUCCUGCUGCAGCGUCUGCUGUAGCUCCUGCUCCUUCUGCUGCACCGCGAAGGCGUGUGCCUUCUCUUCCGCCUGCAGCCGCUUCUGGGCGGCCUCCUGGGCCAGCUGCAGCUGCCGCGCCGACUCCUGCUCCGCUCGCUCCCGCAGGCGCCGCGCCUCCUCCACCUUGGCUUUCAGCCGCUCGACUUCCUCCAGCGCCGCCUUCCGCUGCCGUGCGGCCUCCUCCUCGGCCGCCAGGCUCUUCUGCACGCGCUCCUCAGCCUCACGGCGCCGCCGCUCCUCCUCCGCCGCCAGCUGCCGCUGCCUCGCAGCCUCCAGCUCGGCCUGCUCCUUGCUGCGCAGCGUGUCCUCCGCGUUGCUGCGGAUGCGUCCCAGCUCCAGCUCCAGCUCCGCCUUGCCAGCGGCCGCCUUCUCGAAGCUCGCCUUCAGCGCCAGGAUCUCCUCCUCCACCUGCCGCCGCUGCCUCAGCGUGUCCUCCACCAGCCCCUUCUGCCGCUCCAGCUCGCUGUCCGAUGCCUUGCGCAGCUGGGCCAGGCGCUCCUCGAUGUCAGCCUUGUGUUGCGCGGCCUGCUCCUCCAGCCGCCGCCGCUGGAAGGCCUCGUCCUCCGCCAGCCGCCGCAGGCGCUCGUUCUCCGCCUCCUUCUCCUUGAGCGCGAUCUCCGCCUCCGUCUUGAGCCGCGUGGCCUCGCCGAUGGCGGCCAGCUUCUCCGCAAGCACCCGCUCCGCCUCGGCCCGCUGCCGCGCCGCGUCUUCCUCGGCCAGCUGCCGCUGCCGCUUGGCCUCUUCCGCCAGGGCACGCAGGCGGGCGGCCUCCUCGGCCAGCUCGCGGAACCGGCCGGCCUCGGCCUCCAGCCUCUGCUUGGACUUCUCGCUGGUGGAGCGCGACUCCUCCUCAGCCCUCGCCUUGCUGGCCAGCAGCACCUCCAUCUCGGCCCGCACCUUGGCCAG
rnacentral:lncRNA from 1 species